UACGAAGGUCCCAAGCGUUAUCCGGAUUUAUUGGGUUUAAAGGGUGCGUAGGCGGGCUAUUAAGUCAGUGGUGAAAGCCCCAAGCUUAACUUGGGAACUGCCAUUGAUACUGAUGGUCUUGAGUACAUUUGAGGUGGGCGGAAUGUGUCAUGUAGCGGUGAAAUGCUUAGAUAUGACACAGAACACCGAUUGCGAAGGCAGCUCACUAAACUGUAACUGACGCUGAGGCGACGAAAGCGUGGGGAGCAAACAGG
rnacentral:rRNA from 1 species